AAAAAAAUAAUAAUAAUAAUGAAGGUACCGUGGAUUGGCAACACUUACAAUGUAAACAAACAGCUGAUCACGGGUCCGGAGCGAGGCAAGGAGAUAAAAAUAAUAAUAAACGAAGGAAAUAGAGCAAAUACUCGUAGAAGGACGACAGCAGGCAGAGAGGGGCAGGAGAAGUAGCAGAAUCAGGGAAAGGCGUAUUGGUGCCAGUAAAUAAGGUGGACUUGGAAUCUCUCAGGGGAAACUACAUGUAGUAAUUGAAUUAAAAUGGCUAGAACCAGAGGAUGGGGUUGUGCGUCCCUGGGAGUUCAGAGGGUGCCGGCGCUUCAACUGAUGGUGUGGACCCAUGAGACAGAGGCUCCACCAGGUGGUAACACAAGCAGCGGGUGGAAGAGACCUUGGGAGACUUCCGUAACUCAGAAGCAAGAAGCAAAACUUACUGGAGCCUUGUGACUGACUGGUGGUUUUGACUGCAGGCACCAACAUUCAGGUCCCUGAACACCUUUCCCCCCAUGAACUGGCUGCUGUUUACUGGGACACCCUUGCAGAACAGCCUGGCGGAGCUCUGGGCCCUUCUGAACUUCCUAAUGCUGGAUAAUUUUGAGUCCUUGUCCAAUGUGAGUGAGAUGCAGGAGGGAAGUGAGGAGAGGACUCUGAGGCAGGAAUGGGAGGGCCAGGCCAUCUCCACUCUAAUGAAGAUAAGAGAGAGGGAAUGUGGGUGUGUUUGGGAGUGUUUUGGUGGCUUUGGGUAGGUUUGGGUGUGUUUGGGGAGUUUUUUAUGAUUAUUUAAAGAGGUUUUUUUGGGCUGGAGAGGAGUUUUUUGGGCUGGAGAGGAGUUUUUUGGGCUGGAGAGAAUUUUUUUGGGUCUGGAGAGGAGCUUUUUGGGCUGGAGAGAAAUGUUUUGGGCUGGAGAGAAGGUUAUGUUUUGGGCUGGAGAGAAGGUUUUGUGGGCUGGAGGGAAGUUUUUUGGGCUGGAGGGAAGUUUUUUGGGCUGGAGAGGAGAUUUUGGGCUGGAGAGGAUCGUUUCAGGUCAGGUGGUUAAACACUACCUUCUAUCUAGUGGCUAUUGUAGGCUGUAUCUCUCUCUCUCUCUCUCUCUCUCUCUCUCUCUCUCUCUCUCUCUCUCUCUCUCUCUCUCUCUCUCUCUCUCGGCGAGAUAGCAAGGUACACACACCACCACCCCUCACACACACACACACACACACACACACACACAGCCCCCUCCCCCUCUCCACCCUUUAUCGUAACGUACAAACAGGACUAAACGUGUUACCAAUGCCAGCAAUGUAAACAAAACCACAGUGACUUUGAAAUGUAAACAAAAAAAGUCACGUGACCAGAUAAUGUAAACAAAACCACGUGACUUUGAAAUGUAAACAAAAAAAUCACGUGACCAGAUAAUGUAAACAAAACCACGUGACAAAUGUAAACAAAAAAGUCACGUGACCAGAUAAUGUAAACAAAACCACGUGACUUUCAAAUAUAAACAAAAAGUCACGUGACCAGAUAAUGUAAACAAAACCACGUGACUUUCAAAUGUAAACAAAAAAGUCACGUGACCAGAUAAUGUAAACAAAACCACGUGACUUUCAAAUGUAAACAAAAAAAGUCACGUGACCAGAUAAUGUAAACAAAACCACGUGACUUUGAAAUGUAAACACAAGGUCACGUGAUUUGCAAAUGUAAACAAAACAGGAAAAAAAAACAAACAACCGCCAUCUUGAAAGCAACGUAAACAAACAAACAAACAAACACGUGGAUAUAUUAACAGUUUGCACUUAAAACAAACAAACAAAUACUUGGUACACACGCUUAGUCCCAUAAUUAGAAGGUAAAACACACACACACACACACACACAUACACACACACACACACACACACACACACACACACACACACACAGUCUAGGUGAGUUAAUCUUUAUAAUAAAAAAAAAAUUCUUAAGAGUAGUUAGUUAAAUAAGAAAAAUAUAAAAAGUUAAAUAAUUCAAACAUACACACAUUAUCAUUAUUAUUAUUAUUAUUAUUAUUAUUAUUAUUAUUAUUAUUAUUAUUAUUAUUCGACUUGGCUCCUUGCAGAUAUUCGAAAUGGUGUCUUUUUUUAUUUAUUUUAUUUUUUCUAUAUAUAAUACUUAAAUAGGUAAGAUUCAUCGCUAAUAUUACAAUGUGUGUAUGUUUGUGUGUACAUAUGUGUGUGUGUGCGUGUGUACGUGUGUGUGUGUGUGUGUGUGUGUGUGUGUGUGUGUGUGUGUCAUUAUCAACCUCAGAACCUCCGGGUAUUGUGUGUGUGUGUGUGUGUGUGUGUGUGUGUGUGUGUGUGUGUGUGUGUGUGCGUGCGUGCGUGCGUAGGUUUAUAGCGAGUCUAAGGUACUCCUAAACGGGUCUUAUUUAACCUCCUCCUCCUCCUCCUCCUCCUCCUCCUCUUCCUCCUCUUCUUUUUUAUUUUUCAAUGUUAUUUUUCUUAAUUUUUUUGUGAUUUUUUCUUCGUUCUCCUCCUCCUCCUUCUCCUCCCUCGUCAUCUUCUUCCUCCUCCUCCUCCUCCUCCUCCUCCUCCUCCUCCUCCUCCUCCUUCUCCUCCUCGUCCUCUUUAUUUUUUUUACUGAUUUUUUCAUUAGUCUUCCGUUUCCUUCCUUUUCCUCCUCCUCUUCCUUUUCCUCCUCCUCCUCCUCCUCCUCCUCCUCCUCCUCCUCCUCCUCCGGUCACAUUUUUGGAAGAAAACGUAGAUUUUAGGGAAAUUUUCAGCAAAGUUUUCAAUUCUUUUAUUUUUACAAUUUCAUUUUUUGUACAUAAACUAAAAUAUUUUAUUAUUAUUAUUAUUAUUAUUAUUAUUAUUAUUAUUAUUAUUAUUAUUAUUAUUAUUAUUAUUACUUUCAUAGUCUGGGAUCUUGUGUGUGUGUGUGUGUGUGUGUGUGUGUGUGUGUGUAUGUAUGUAUGUAUGUACGUAUGUAUGUGUGUAUGUAUGUAUGCAAGCGUACACAGAAACACACACACGCACACACACACAGGUCAUUCAUAAUAUAUACAUGAAUGACACACACACACACACACACACACACACACACACACACACACACACACACACACACACACACACACACACACACACAUGUACACAAAA